GCUAAUUGCAGAAUGGUCGAUAUGGGUUUCAGUUCUCCAAUUUCAAAUUUUUCAUACACUGAGGUUAGAAGUAGGUUCACACUAGCUCCUAAGUUAAUAAGGCUCGAUUAAAGGUGAUACCUCCUAUAACAUAUGAAAUCAAAAAAGCACCAGGAUCUUUCAUUUUUUGAGAUAAUGGGUUCAACAGGACUGCACUUACAUCUUUAGAUAGCAUAAUUCUCUCUAUUGUUCUCGGCUCACACUUUUAUGUGCAAAGUUUCUUAAGAAAUUUUGCAUAAGUCGGAACAUGCUGAAUCGCAUCGAGGGAUAAAUUAAUAUGAACUUAUUUGAAUAAUUUCAUUAACUCCUCAUUGCAUGCUCUUUGCUUUUUGUGAGAAGAACCAGCUUUUCGGGCAGAAGGGAAUGGAACUUUAAGUUUAUAUGCCUCGGAUAACUCAUCUGCUAUCUUCUUCUCUUUGUCUUUCUCACUCAAAUUGAAACCAAUAUCAGUACCAGUUUCGAGCUCAGGUUCUUCUAUGUGGUUAGUCUCAGUACUAACAUUGAUGUUCUCAUUUUGGUUAGUAUUAAUACUAGCCUCUCUCAUCAGAUCUUGAUAUGGUCCAUGUCCUUAAGAAUCCUACCACUUUUAAGUUCAGUAAUUGCAUUGACAUUCUCAAAUUGAGGAUUCUCAGGGGGGACAUUGAAUUGAUGAUUACAUUCAGGUGGUUGGUGGAUAGUGGGUGGGUUGUUCCUGGGAUUUGCAAUAGGUUGGCUUGGUAAUUGAUCUGGUUCUCUUCUCAUGAUAGACUCAGCUAACUAUCCUAUUUAUGCUUCUAACCUAAUAAUAAAUUGCUAUUGGGUCAUAAUCAAUUAUUGGAGCUAAUUAAAUCUAUCAUCGGCU
rnacentral:lncRNA from 1 species